UUCUGUGAUGAAAACUGCUGCAUAGGAAGUGCCGUCCGAUGCGAUAACUGACGCUAAAUAGCUGUUCUGAGA
ensembl:snoRNA